UACGUAGGGGGCAAGCGUUGUCCGGAUUUAUUGGGCGUAAAGAGCGUGUAGGCGGCUGGGUAGGUCCGCUGUGAAAACUCGAGGCUUAACCUCGAGACGUCGGUGGAAACCAUCCAGCUAGAGUCCGGAAGAGGAGAGUGGAAUUCCUGGUGUAGCGGUGAAAUGCGCAGAUAUCAGGAGGAACACCGGUGGCGAAGGCGGGUCUCUGGGCCGAUAUUGACGCUGAGGAGCGAAAGCGUGGGGAGCGAACAGG
rnacentral:rRNA from 1 species